rnacentral:rRNA from 1 species
GACGAACCGUGCGAACGUUGUUCGGAUUCACUGGGCUUAAAGGGCGCGUAGGCGGGCCUUCAAGUCCGGGGUGAAAUCCUCUCGCUUAACGAGAGAACUGCCCCGGAUACUGAAGGCCUCGAGGGAGGUAGGGGCAUGUGGAACUUCCGGUGGAGCGGUGAAAUGCGUAGAUAUCGGAAGGAACGCCGGUGGCGAAAGCGGCUCGCUGGACCUCUUCUGACGCUGAGGCGCGAAAGCCAGGGGAGCAAACGGG